UAUCUUGAAACAAUUUCCAGGACGCAAUCCUGCUUUUUCUUCGCACGUUUCGGACUCGACAAAGGAGCUCCUGAGCUAAAAACUAAUGUCGAGUCACACUCGACAUAGGAGUGCAAGCGUUGAUACAAAGCACACGUGACAACAAAUGCACGCACGUAGCCUAACAAUCAUGCACAUCGGAUACCCGUGAAAGUGCAAGUUACAAACUCAAAAGAAGAACGAAGAAAGUGGAACAGGGGCUCGAGCAGAGAAGAAAAGAUCCAUCGAGCCAUGUGGCAGGCGCAAACGCUCCCACACCGGAGGCAGUAACGAGCCAUCAAGUCUCCCGGUAAUCGAAUGCCAACUGCGGUCUUGUGUUUGCUCUAACGCCUUCGCGAGAAACAUGAAGCUAACUAAUCGCUAUCUACGCUUACGUGUCUCUGAGGAAAUACUACUUUCACUUCUAAAUUUACACAUAUAUGUCGUCCAAUUGACAUUCGUUGCUCGUUUUUCUGUAUUUUAAUCGAAUUUAGGGGCUUUUUCCACGGAACGGCUAGAAUCUGGCCGAGAAACGUUAAGACCGAUUUUAAUCAUAAAUGUGAUAAUAUUUUUCGGACAUUUCGAAUAUACAACUGUGGAUAAAAUUAUUUACUAAAUUAUUGAGAGUAGAUACGUAAUAUUGCUAAAAAUUGCGGACUCAAAGUGGUGUAAGUUAAUAUAUUGUUACUGUCUAUAAAACGAUGCUCUACGUUUAUUGUCAUAAAAAUUCGUUCUAUUUUCCAAGUCAUGAAGACGUAUUGUAACAGAGGAUGAAGUUAUAACUUAAUGAAUUACGAAACUAAAUGGAUGAUAUCUGUAAGAGUUGUGAUACGUAAUUAAAUUAAAGUUUAUUAAAUUUUCUCUUCCAUC